AGGAAAGUAAAAAAGGGCGCAUGGCGGAUGCCUUGGCUCUCGGAGGCGAUGAAGGACGUGAUAAGCUGCGAUAAGCUUUGGGGAGGUGCAAAUGACCUUUGAUCCAGAGAUUUCCGAAUGGGACAACCCAAUAUCUUGAAGAGGUAUUAUCCAACGUUGUUGGAGGCUAACGCAGGGAACUGAAACAUCUUAGUACCUGCAGGAAAAGAAAAUAAACAAUGAUUCCCCCAGUAGUGGCGAGCGAACGGGGAACAGCCCAAACCAUCCAUGUUACGGCAUGGGUGGGGUUGUAGGACUACGCCGUUGCAUGAAGACAUCAGAGAAGAACUUUCUGGAAAGAAAGACCAUAGAGCAUGACAGUUGCGUAUUCGAAUGUUGUCGAAGCAUAGUAGUAUCCUGAGUAGCGCGGAGCACGAGGAAUUCUGCGUGAAUCUGCCGGGACCAUCCGGUAAGGCUAAAUACUCCCGAGAGACCGAUAGCGAACCAGUACCGUGAGGGAAAGGUGAAAAGCACUUCGAACAGAAGAGUGAAAUAGUUCCUGAAACCGUGCGCCUACAAGCGGUCGGAGCUCGUUAAUGAGUGACGGCGUGCCUUUUGCAUAAUGAACCUACGAGUUGCCUUUGCCGGCAAGGUUAAGUGUGACGACACACGUAUCCGAAGCGAAAGCGAGUCUGAACAGGGCGUAUAGUCGGCAGUGGCAGACGCGAAACCAAGUGAUCUACCCUUGGCCAGGUUGAAGGCUGGGUAACACCAGCUGGAGGACCGCACCAAUAAGCGUUGAAAAGCUUCUGGAUGAGCUGAGGGUAGGGGUGAAAGGCUAAUCAAACUUGGAGAUAGCUCGUACUCCCCGAAAUGCAUUUAGGUGCAGCCUUGCGGGUUACUGAUGUGAGGUAGAGCGACUGAUAAGAUGCGAGGGCUUCACCGCCUAUCAAGUCUUGACAAACUCCGAAUGCGCAUCAGUUCUACCGCAGGAGUGAGGGCAUGGGUGCUAAGGUCCGUGCCCGAGAGGAGAAGAAUCCGGACCACCUGCUAAGGUCCCGAAAUGACAGCUAAGUUAAACUAACGAAGUCUGACUGCUAAGACAGCUAGGAUGUUGGCUUGGAAGCAGCCAUUCAUUUAAAGAGUGCGUAACAGCUCACUAGUCGAGGAGUCGGGCGUGGAUAAUAAUCGGGUAUGAAGUUGUCUACCGAAGCAGUGGGAUCAUUUAUAUGAUCGGUAGGGGAGCAUUCCAGUCAGCGUCGAAGGCGUACCGUGAGGUAUUCUGGAGCGUCUGGAAAAGCAAAUGUAGGUAUAAGUAACGAUAAAGGGGGCGGGAAACCCCCUCGCCGAAAGACUAAGGUUUCCUGAUCAACGCUAAUCGGAUCAGGGUCAGUCGGGUCCUAAGGCUCAGCCGAACGGCGAUGCCGAUGGCAGAAACGGUUAAUAUUCCGUUACUACCUUCAGGAGUGACGUGGAGACGCAGUAGUGACAGUGCCGC
rnacentral:rRNA from 1 species